UUGCUCUUCAACGAGGAAUGCCUAGUAAGCGCAUGUCAUCAGCAUGCGUUGAUUACGUCCCUGCCCUUUGUACACACCGCCCGUCGCUACUACCGAUUGAAUGGCUCGGUGAGGCCUUCGGACUGGCCCAGGGAGGUCGGCAACGACCACCCAGGGCCGGAAAGUUGGUCAAACCCGGUCAUUUAGAGGAAGUAAAAGUCGUAACAAGGUCUCCGUAGGUGAACCUGCGGAGGGAUCAUUACAAGUGACCCCGGUCUAACCACCGGGAUGUUCAUAACCCUUUGUUGUCCGACUCUGUUGCCUCCGGGGCGACCCUGCCUUCGGGCGGGGGCUCCGGGUGGACACUUCAAACUCUUGCGUAACUUUGCAGUCUGAGUAAACUUAAUUAAUAAAUUAAAACUUUUAACAACGGAUCUCUUGGUUCUGGCAUCGAUGAAGAACGCAGCGAAAUGCGAUAAGUAAUGUGAAUUGCAGAAUUCAGUGAGUCAUCGAAUCUUUGAACGCACAUUGCGCCCCCUGGUAUUCCGGGGGGCAUGCCUGUUCGGGCGUCAUUUCACCACUCAAGCCUCGCUUGGUAUUGGGCAACGCGGUCCGCCGCGUGCCUCAAAUCGACCGGCUGGGUCUUCUGUCCCCUAAGCGUUGUGGAAACUAUUCGCUAAAGGGUGUUCGGGAGGCUACGCCGUAAAACAACCCCAUUUCUAAGGUUGACCUCGGAUCAGGUAGGGAUACCCGCUGAACUUAAGCAUAUCAAUAAGCGGAGGA
rnacentral:rRNA from 1 species